rnacentral:tRNA from 1 species
ACCUUCAUGGUGUAACGCUAGCACACUCAGCCCGUAUUCGAGAGGUCCAGGUUCGAGUCCCGGCGAAGGCA